rnacentral:rRNA from 1 species
UGGGGAAUUUUGGACAAUGGCGAAAGCCUGAUCCAGCAAUGCCGCGUGAGGGAUGACGGCCUUCGGGUUGUAAACCUCUUUCAGCAGGGAAGAAGCGAAAGUGACGGUACCUGCAGAAGAAGCGCCGGCUAACUACGUGCCAGCAGCCGCGGUAAUACGUAGGGCGCAAGCGUUGUCCGGAAUUAUUGGGCGUAAAGAGCUCGUAGGCGGUUAGUCGCGUCUGCUGUGAAAACUCGAGGCUCAACCUCGGGCUUGCAGUGGGUACGGCUGACUAGAGUGCGGUAGGGGUGACUGGAAUUCCUGGUGUAGCGGUGGAAUGCGCAGAUAUCAGGAGGAACACCGAUGGCGAAGGCAGGUCACUGGGCCGCAACUGACGCUGAGGAGCGAAAGCAUGGGGAGCGAACAGGAUUAGAUACCCUGGUAGUCCAUGCCGUAAACGUUGGGCACUAGGUGUGGGGUCCAUUCCACGGAUUCCGUGCCGCAGCAAACGCAUUAAGUGCCCCGCCUGGGGAGUACGGCCGCAAGCUAAAACUCAAAUGAAUUGACGGGGUCAU